GAUGAGCGCUGGCGGCGUGCCUAAUACAUGCAAGUCGAGCGAACAGAUAAGGAGCUUGCUCCUUUGACGUUAGCGGCGGACGGGUGAGUAACACGUGGGUAACCUACCUAUAAGACUGGGAUAACUUCGGGAAACCGGAGCUAAUACCGGAUAACAUUUGGAACCGCAUGGUUCUAAAGUGAAAGAUGGUUUUGCUAUCACUUAUAGAUGGACCCGCGCCGUAUUAGCUAGUUGGUAAGGUAACGGCUUACCAAGGCAACGAUACGUAGCCGACCUGAGAGGGUGAUCGGCCACACUGAAACUGAGAAACGGUCCAGACUCCUACGGGGGGCAGCAGUAGGGAAUCUUCCGAAAUGGGCGAAAGCCUGACGGAGCAACGCCGCGUGAGUGAUGAAGGGUUUCGGCUCGUAAACCCUGUUAUUAGGGAAGAACAAACGUGUAAGUAACUGUGCACGUCUUGACGGUACCUAAUCAGAAAGCCACGGCUAACUACGUG
rnacentral:rRNA from 1 species